rnacentral:rRNA from 1 species
CAGCAGUAGCCGCGGUAAUACGAAGGGUGCAAGCGUUAAUCGGAAUUACUGGGCGUAAAGCGUGCGUAGGCGGUGAGUUAAGUCUGCUGUGAAAUCCCCGGGCUCAACCUGGGAAUGGCAGUGGAUACUGGCUCGCUAGAGUGUGUCAGAGGAUGGUGGAAUUCCCGGUGUAGCGGUGAAAUGCGUAGAGAUCGGGAGGAACAUCAGUGGCGAAGGCGGCCAUCUGGGACAACACUGACGCUGAGGCACGAAAGCGUGGGGAGCAAACAGGAUUAGAUACCCCAGUAGUCCCUGUCUCUUAUAC